rnacentral:lncRNA from 1 species
AAAAAUCCAAGAGUUAAAAAAGAGAGAGAAGAGGAGAGGAGAGGAGAGGAGAGGAGAGAGAGAAGGUUUGAUGUGGUUGUCGAGAUGCUAACAGAGAGGCACAUGCAAAGCUUAAAUGAUGGUAUCGCUGGUGGCCAAAGCAUCUCCUUAAAGCUGUCCUUUUUCAUCUUAAGUCCUCUUUCUUUUUUUUUUCUUUUUUUUUUUUAUAUUUC